GAGAGCUGAGAGAGUCGGAGCAAGAGGAAGAAGAACGAAGAAGGAGAAGAGGUUGAGUGGGAGCCGAUUGCUUACAUGCAAGGUUGGAUUUGGAUUAAGGAGCAGGAGCUAGGAGGCACUUCAAUGGCAACUUAAGCUUGUUUGAUUUACAAUACAAUUUUAGAAGAGCAUGGAGGAGGGUAGAACUUUGAGCUGGGAUUUAAAGACCAGGUAGAAAUGUUUUCAUUUAUCUUUUUGGUUCAAGAACUUGGGAUUAUUUAUUUUUAAUUGAUUUUGAGUUGUAUUGGUUGAAGAAAAUCUAGUUCUAAGUUGUGGUAAACGUUGGUUUAAGACUUAAGAGCCUGCUGUGCGGCAGCCCCCUACCUGACA